GGGAAGUUUUUUUCUGAUGGUAGUUUUGUAGCAAUCUAGAAGGUUAACAUAGACUCUCCUCCUCCUAUUCCUACUUAAUACGUUCCCGUCGUAAAGAACGUUAACACGUCUCUCAAUUAUCCAAGCUAAGGUAUACGGGGAAACCCAACCCUUUGGGCGGAUGGGUUGCAUGGCUAAAUUGAGAGGG
rnacentral:ribozyme from 1 species